UUAUUGCUUCCCUGCAAGGAUGGCACAGAAAGAAAGCAAGAAAAGGAAAGAAAAAGAAAACGAACUCGCAAACUCUGCUGCAUUGCCUAUGAACAUUAACAGCUCUGAUAGAGACAUCAUCUUUCUCAGGUGCACGCUUGAGACUCACCUGAGGCUCUGCUGAUUCAGCUGUUUUCUCGCAAGUUCAUCUCAUCUACCUACUGCAAUGAUGGCGAGGCGAGACAGAUCACGGAGACUGCUGGCAUUGCAGCUUUAACGGACAGAAGAGGCCCACUCGUCCCCUCUAUC